rnacentral:misc_RNA from 1 species
CCAAACUUGGUCAUUUAGAGGAAGUAAAAGUCGUAACAAGGUUUCCGUAGGUGAACCUGCGGAAGGAUCAUUACUGAGUGGCUGUAUUCGUGAUUCUCUUCGGAGAGGCGAAGCUACCCGACCUGAUGUCAUUCUAUCCGAGGGCGCGUCCACAUGAGACAGCGGUUCGACGUUGGAGUUACCCGGACGAGGCGCUUGUCUCGAAAGGGGAAGCUCCCGGUCGGGCCGUGGCGCGCCUCUCGGCACAACCUUCCGCGGAAGUGGUAGGCGUUGACCUGCCCGCCGCGGGCCGUAUUUUCUACAACUCUUGAAGAAAACCUGAAGUCUGAAGAUCAAAACAAAAUGAAAAGCAAAACUUUCAACAACGGAUCUCUUGGCUCUGGCAUCGAUGAAGAACGCAGC